AAUGAAUUAUUGGAUAAGGACAAAACUAAUACGUGAUAGACGAUCGAGGGCUUCUCAACUAAGCUUUGUUGGCGAGCUCUCCACUAAACUUUUAUCCCGAAAAAGAGUACAACAGUUGAGCAGAGUUAGAUACCAUUCAUCAAUUUUAAUCUCACAAAUCAAUUUUUUCUAAAAUGAAAUUUUAAAAAAUAUACAAGUUUUGAGGACCGAAAAGUAUUGGUACUGGCCAAGACAAAAGGACGCUCAAACCCCUUGCUAUAAAACGCACAUUCCACUCGAUCGAGAAAUCCUAAAAGCGUGUAGUUUUUUUUUUUUUUUUCCCGUUUUUUGGCGAUCUCUACGUUUCAAACGACCUGUAUCAUCUUUGGGGAGCUUGCUCGAAUAUGCAGGACGCGUAUAUUAAUUCUUCAAUCUCCGAAUGUAGUUGCUGCUGACAACGUUAAUUUGUUCGGAACGCCGAAGCCGAUCAUUAGUUCCAUCCGCUUCCAGGCUGGUACCUGUCCUCAUGCAACAAAGACUCUUCAGUCCCUCUCUAACUUUCUCAAUUAGGAACCUCUAACAGAGAAUUCCGCGAACUAAAGUUAAAGAACACAGCGGCCACGGGCGGCCCGAGGUUGUAAAAUGCUGCAAAGUCCCUCAUGUUGAAGUUUGAUCUCCACCCCGGUGCAUCCACGGUUUGUCGCACCGAUUGGCGGAACAACACCAACACAAAGCGGUGAAUCCCGGCAGUUGGACAGGGGCUUUCGUAGCAGACGACUUCAUUCCCUGAAGCACAUGAUCAAUAUGUAAUCUGGAUAUAGUAACACUGCUGAGCCAAUGAUUGUUGUAGACACCUAAGCCUCUUCGAAUGAGACGUAAAGAGAGGUGUGCAUAGAGGCGACGGCGAAAGUUCCUUAACACGGAACAAGCCAAUGGAAUUGAGCAAUGUGCAUUCAGUGAAUGCGGGCACUUAGUAGCCUCCAAUUCUCUGAAGAAUAAAAGCAGCUUCGGCAUACCAAUCUUGAAACUUUGAGGAGCCGCCAUUAUCUGGAAGUGGCUUCUAAACUGGAGCUGCACUGUAUAGUGAGUGGUAUAGUACUACUCUUGUAGUCAAAGAGAAAAGUUUGUGGCUUAUUUUGAACCUUAAAAAAUUAAGCUUUUAGGAGAAGCAGAAGCAGCAGCAGCAGAAGAAGAGAUCGAGCCAAAUAUUCUCCAACGACUAUUCUAGGAUUCUUCAUCCAUAUACUGUUUUCUUUAUGAAUAUAAAAGUGAAAAAUCUCAAUCAUAGUCACAGGCAUGCAGAUGCAAUGUAAGGACUAAUUCCUUCUAUAAAACAACUCGUUGGAAUCGUC